UAGUACUUGGAAGAAAAAAAAUUUUUUUUUAACCAUUCCAUUAGCUAAUUUUCAAGGUUAAAUUGAAACUGCUUAGUCAACUGAAGUUGCUGAAAAGUGAUGAAACCAAAACUAAUAAAUGCAUUUUAGCAAUACUGUUUCAAAAAUAGCAGCACUGCGAAAUAAAAUGUUAAAUAUAGAAAGGUUCAAUUGAUUCUAUUCUUUAAUUCAAAACAAUAUUAAAUCUUAAUGGUAGCCAUAUGAAACAGGUUAUUUUGCUUGCUUUUGAAUAUUACUGAUGAUGUACAUAAUAUUCUAAAUCAGUUAUGCAGGUACAAAGUGAAUGAUGCAUUGAAGUUAUCUACAGAACUCUUUCACAUUUCUAAGCCCAUUUAAUUGGUUAAUUAAAAAAAUGCUUUAAAAAAUAAAUAGAUAUAGAAUAAAAAAAAUUUAGAUCACCAGGCUCCCUUCUCUGUCUGAACAUGAAGGAGAACACAAGACAAAAUGUUAUUACAAAGCAAAAAAUUAUUUUCUAUAGGAGAGGGUGGCUCCCCUUGGGACAUUUUUAUUUUUGGUCUUAUAUUUCAAAUUAUCUUUUGGUUUUUUUAGAUUCAGAUAUAUGUCAGUAUCACCUAACCUUGGAACAUAUUUUGAAUUUAUUGAUUAGGCAGGAACUCAUUAGACUUAACUAAUCACAAGAAUUGGAAGCAAAAAGUAUAAAAAUAAUCCAGCAAUUUGUGCUAACAAUGUUGAAAAAGCAGCUGCAAAUUUUAUCAAGGGAAAUGACUUGAAAGAAAGCUGUGGAAUUCUACAGUAUUAGUAAGACCACUCUGAACCGCAAUUUUAUUUCUUUAAAAAAAAAAAGAGAGCAGCAAAAUUCUAAAUUUAUAUAUAUUUUAAAUAUACUGAGUCGCAAAAUAUUCACAGAUGAGGAAGAAACAAAUUUCGUACACUAUAUGUUACAAGCCUCCAAGUACCAUUCAGGAUGAACAAUAUGUGAUGCACAUGCACUUAUAUAUGAGUGUGGUUCGCCAAACCAAAUGAACAUUCCUCCAAACUGGGAGAAUGUAAAAAAAAAAUCUGGGAAUAUGAGGAUUUAAUGCUCUCAGAAUUAGUGAGAAAUACAUCCAGAAGAAAACUAGUAAUUAGUGAUUUAUGCAAUAAUAACAGUGAUGAUGAUGAUUGCAGCUUAAAUGAAAUGAACAGUGAAAGUGACAACAAAAUAUUUGACAAUAAGAAAAAAGUACAUCUAGAAAAAGUAAUGAAACAAGAUUACAUAUUGGAGAUUUUGCUCACAUCAAAUUAGCUGGUAAAAGAUCUGUUUUUUGCCUUCGUAGGAUGCGUUGAAAGAGUUGAUGUAGAUGAGUAAGAGUUAUCAGUUUUGAGAUGAGUGAAUCAAUCUGCAACAUUUAUUUGUCUCAAAAAAGAAGACAACUCUUACAUAGAUUCAAAUUAUAUUUUGCUAAAACUUAAGCAGAGCAAAGCUUUGAACGUUCUUUAGGUUUGUUAUUUGAUUCUGAACAGUUGGAUUUGCAUACAAGAAGUUGAAACUAACAGAAUAAAACUUUAUAAACAAAAUUAAAAAA
rnacentral:lncRNA from 1 species